rnacentral:rRNA from 1 species
GACGAACGCUGGCGGCGUGCUUAACACAUGCAAGUCGAACGGAAAGGCCCUGCUUGCAGGGUGCUCGAGUGGCGAACGGGUGAGUAACACGUGGGUGAUCUGCCCCUUACUUUGGGAUAAGCCUGGGAAACUGGGUCUAAUACUGGAUAGGACCAUGCUGUAGGUGGUGUGGUGGAAAGAUUAGUUUCGGUAAGGGAUGAGCUCGCGGCCUAUCAGCUUGUUGGUGGGGUAAUGGCCUACCAAGGCGUCGACGGGUAGCCGGCCUGAGAGGGUGGACGGCCACAUUGGGACUGAGAGACGGCGCAGACGCCUACGGGAGGCAGCAGUGGGGAAUAUUGCACAAUGGGCGCAAGCCUGAUGCAGCGACGCCGCGUGGGGGAUGACGGCCUUCGGGUUGUAAACUCCUUUCAGCCAUGACGAAGCCCUUGUGGUGACGGUAGUGGUAGAAGAAGCACCGGCUAACUACGUG